GUUUGGCGCCAAGCUGAAUGUGUCUCUAGUCAUAAGCCUGAAUUGAUGAGGUUACUAUGACUAACGAGCACAUCCAGCGUGGCACUGUUUAGC
rnacentral:pre_miRNA from 14 species